rnacentral:rRNA from 1 species
CAGCAGCCACGGGAAUACGAAGGGGGCUAGCGUUGUUCGGAAUCACUGGGCGUAAAGCGCACGUAGGCGGAUCUUUAAGUCAGGGGUGAAAUCCCGAGGCUCAACCUCGGAACUGCCUUUGAUACUGGGGAUCUCGAGUCCGGGAGAGGUGAGUGGAACUGCGAGUGUAGAGGUGAAAUUCGUAGAUAUUCGCAAGAACACCAGUGGCGAAGGCGACUCUCUGGUCUGUAACUGACGCUGAGGAGCGAAAGCGUGGGGAGCGAACAGGAUUAGAUACCCGCGUAGUCCCUGUCUCUUAUAU